rnacentral:rRNA from 1 species
AACGUAGGAGACGAACGUUAUCCGGAGUUACUGGGCGUAAAGGGCGUGUAGGCGGUUUGUUAAGUCUGGCGUGAAAGCUCUCGGCUAAACCGGGAGAGGUCGUUGGAUACUGGCGAACUAGAGGAUGGUAGAGGCGUGUGGAAUUCCGGGUGUAGUGGUGAAAUGCGUAGAGAUCCGGAGGAACACCAGUGGCGAAAGCGACACGCUGGGCCAUACCUGACGCUAAAGCGCGACAGCAUGGGGAGCAAACGGG